UACGUAGGGUGCAAGCGUUGUCCGGAAUUAUUGGGCGUAAAGAGCUCGUAGGCGGCUUUGUCACGUCGGGUGUGAAAGCCCGGGGCUUAACCCCGGGUCUGCAUUCGAUACGGGCUGGCUAGAGUGUGGUAGGGGGAGAUGAAUUCCUGGUGUAGCGGUGAAAAUGCGCAGAUAUCAGGAGGAACACCGGUGGCGAAGGCGGAUCUCUGGGCCAUUUACUGACGCUGAGGGAAGCGAAAAGCG
rnacentral:rRNA from 1 species